AUUGAACGCUGGCGGCAGGCCUAACACAUGCAAGUCGAACGAGUGGCGGACGGGUGAGUAAUGUCUGGGAAACUGCCUGAUGGAGGGGGAUAACAACUGGAAACGGUAGCUAAUACCGCAUACCAUCAGAUGUGCCCAGAUGGGAUUAGCUAGUUGGUGGGGUAACGGCUCACCAAGGCGCCGAUCCCUAGCUGGUCUGCGAGGAUGACCAGCCACACUGGAACUGAGCCACGGUCCAGACUCCUACGGGAGGCAGCAGGGGGGAAUAUUGCAAAAUGGGCGAAAGCCUGAUGCAGCCAUGCCGCGUGUAUGAAGAAGGCCUGCGGGUUGUAAAGUACUUUCAGCUGGGAGGCGUUACCCGCAGAAGAAGCACCGGCUAACUCCGUGCCAGCCGCCGCGGUAAUAC
rnacentral:rRNA from 1 species